GAUGAACGCUGGCGGCGUGCCUAAUACAUGCAAGUAGGACGCAGUUGCGAACGGGUGAGUAACGCGUAUGUAACUACCUAUUAGAGGGGGAUAACUAUUGGAAACGAUAGCUAAUACCGCAUACUAGUAGAUGGAACUGCGUUGUAUUAGCUAGUAGGUAGGGUAAUGGCUUACCUAGGCAACGAUACAUAGCGGCCCUGAGAGGAUGAUCGGCCACACUGGGACUGAGACACGGCCCAGACUCCUACGGGAGGCAGCAGUAGGGAAUCUUCGGCAAUGGGGGGAACCCUGACCGAGCAACGCCGCGUGAGUGAAGAAGGUUUUCGGAUCGUAAAACUCUGUUAUUAGGGAAGCGGUACCUAAUCAGAAAGCCACGGCUAACUACGUGCCAGCAGCCGCGGUAAUAC
rnacentral:rRNA from 1 species